ACGGGGGGUGCAAGCGUUGUUCGGAAUUAUUGGGCGUAAAGCGCGUGUAGGCGGUUUGUUAAGUCUGAUGUGAAAGCCCCGGGCUCAACCUGGGAAGUGCAUUGGAAACUGGCAGACUUGAAUACGGGAGAGGGAAGUGGAAUUCCUGGUGUAGCGGUGAAAUGCGUAGAUAUCAGGCGGAACACCGAUUGCGAAGGCAGCUGACUGGGCCGUUAUUGACGCUGAGGCGCGAAAGCGUGGGUAGCGAACAG
rnacentral:rRNA from 1 species